CCUGGAUCAGAAACUCUUCUCUCCAGUUGUUGAGAUUGUCAAAUGAUUUCAUGGAGUUGACAUCAUACACAAGAACACAGCAAUCAGCACCCCGGUAAAAAGCUACACCAAGGCUCUGAAACCUUUCCUGUCCAGCUGUAUCCCAGAUCUGUAAUAACCCAUCCAUUGACAGAAACAAACAGAAACAAAACCACAUGAAAUUAUCCUAGUGCCUUGUCUUAUUCAGAACUAAUUACUGAUUGCAUGACACUAGCACAAAAGUAUGUCAAUAUUAUUAUAGGAAGCAUGAUUCACGAGAAAGGUAAGCCUGGAAGUGUCUGGCAGAAACUGAUUAGGUACUUGGCGUUUUUUAAACCAACACCUCGCAUAGUCAAAAAAAUAUCUAUUGAAUAUACAAACUACAGCAGCAAAAGCAAAAUUAAUGUAAUUCAGUGAUUAAAGCUCAAGUAAGAACCUGUAAAGUGAAAAGACGAUCUUCAAACUGGACUUCCUUAGUCAAGAAGUCAGCUCCAAUGGUGGCCUUGUACUGGUUGCUGAACUUUUUAUUAACAUAUCUGAAGUUAAUCGUGUUAAACCAAAAACAAAAGCGAAAACUCAUCUGACUUCGAGAAAGAUCCAGCCAAAUCAUUAAACAAACUACUACAGUAUUACUUGUUAGUCCAUUGGAAA